rnacentral:rRNA from 1 species
UACGUAGGGGGCAAGCGUUGUCCGGAUUUAUUGGGCGUAAAGAGCGUGUAGGCGGCCAGGUAGGUGGGUUGUGAAAACUGGAGGCUCAACCUUCAGACGUCGACCCAAACCCCCUGGCUAGAGUCCGGAAGAGGAGAGUGGAAUUCCAGGUGUAGCGGUGAAAUGCGUAGAUAUCUGGAGGAACACCGGUGGCGAAGGCGGCAUCCUGGACCGGUAUUGACGCUGAGGAGCGAAAGCCAGGGGAGCAAACGGG